rnacentral:lncRNA from 1 species
GCUCCAUUGGAUCAUGUUCUUCUUCAGUAGGAUAUUCAUUCUUGGGAGGUUCUUGGUUAUUCUCAGCGGGAGGUUCUUGGUUAUUCUCAGCGGGAGGUUCUUGGUUAUUCUCAGCGGGAGGUUCUUGGUUAUUCUCAGCGGGAGGUUCUUGGUUAUUCUCGGCAUGGGGUUCUUGGUUAUUCUCGGCAGGGGGUUCUUGGUUAUUCUCAGCGGGAGGUUCUUGGUUAUUCUCAGCAGGGGGGUCUUGGUUAUUUGCAGCAGGGGGGUCUUGGUUAUCGUCGGCAGGAGGUUCUUGGUUAUCCUCGGCAGGAGGUUCUUGGUUUUCAAUGCUAUCAUG